rnacentral:misc_RNA from 1 species
CCAAUAGCGUAUAUUAAAGUUGUUGCAGUUAAAAAGCUCGUAGUUGAAUUUCGGGGUCAGUAGGUUGGUCGUGCCACCGGUACGUACUGGUCUCACUGAUUCCUCCUUCCUGAUGAGCUGUAAUGCCAUUAAUUUGGUGUUGCAGGGAAUCUGGACUGUUACUUUGAAAAAAUUAGAGUGUUUAAAGCAGGCUAACGCUUGAAUACAUUAGCAUGGAAUAUUGAAAUAGGACGUUCGAUCCUAUUUUGUUGGUUUCUAGGAUUGACGUAAUGAUUAAUAGGGAUAGUUGGGGGCAUUAGUAUUCAAUUGUCAGAGGUGAAAUUCUUGGAUUUAUUGAAGACUAACUACUGCGAAAGCAUUUGCCAAGGAUGUUUUCAUUAAUCAAGAACGAAAGUUAGGGGAUCGAAGACGAUCAGAUACCAUCGUAGUCUUAACCAUAAACUAUGCCGACUAGGGAUCGGAUGAUGUUAAUUUUUUAAUGACUCAUUCGGCGCCUUACA